rnacentral:rRNA from 1 species
CCUACGGGGGCGCAGCAGUGGGGAAUAUUGGACAAUGGGCGAAAGCCUGAUCCAGCCAUGCCGCGUGUGUGAAGAAGGCCUUCGGGUUGUAAAGCACUUUCAGUGGGGAAGAAAGCCUUGGGGCUAAUACCCUCGAGGAAGGACAUCACCCACAGAAGAAGCACCGGCUAACUCCGUGCCAGCAGCCGCGGUAAUACGGAGGGUGCGAGCGUUAAUCGGAAUUACUGGGCGUAAAGCGCGCGUAGGCGGUCUGAUAAGCCGGUUGUGAAAGCCCCGGGCUCAACCUGGGAACGGCAUCCGGAACUGUCAGGCUAGAGUGCAGGAGAGGAAGGUAGAAUUCCCGGUGUAGCGGUGAAAUGCGUAGAGAUCGGGAGGAAUACCAGUGGCGAAGGCGGCCUUCUGGACUGACACUGACGCUGAGGUGCGAAAGCGUGGGUAGCAAACAGGAUUAGAUACCCUAGUAGUC